GGGACUUGUAUGAAUGGCCACACGAGGGCUUUACUGUCUCUUACUUCCAAUCCGUGAAAUUGACCUUCCCGUGAAGAGGCGGGAAUACAACAAUAAGACGAGAAGACCCUAUGGAGCUUUAAUUAAUCGACUCAAAGAGACUCCACUAACUAACCGACAGGAACAACAAACCUCUACAUGAGCCGACAAUUUAGGUUGGGGUGACCUCGGAGAACAAAACAACCUCCGAGUGAUUUAAAUCUAGACUAACCAGUCAAAAGUAUCACAUCACUUAUUGAUCCAAAAACUUGAUCAACGGAACAAGUUACCCUAGGGAUAACAGCGCAAUCCUAUUUCAGAGUCCAUAUCGACAAUAGGGUUUACGAC
rnacentral:rRNA from 1 species